ensembl:snoRNA SNORA63 Small nucleolar RNA SNORA63
AAGCAGGAAUCAGACUACAAUAUAGCUGUUAGUGCUGUAUUGUCAUUCCCCCUGCUGAAAUUAAAGUUGUUUCUUAACUACACCUGUCUGCUAUUCUGUAGCAGCCAGGGAUGCUUGGUUACAUACAU